UUUUGAGGCCCCGUAAUCGGAAAUGAGUACACUUUAAAUCCUUUAACAAGGAUCCAUUGAAGGGCAAGUCUGGUGCCAGCAGCCGCGGUAAUUCCAGCUUCAAUAGCGUAUAUUAAAAGUUGUUGCGGUUAAAAAGCUCGUAGUUGGUUCUGCGUGCCACGCUGUUGGUUCGCCGCCUGUCGGUGUAACUGACAUGCCGUGGCAUGUCCUGUCGGUGGCGUUCGGGAGCCUCGUCCAGGUGACGGCCCUUGCCAAAAGCUUGGUGUCCGGAGGCCGGGGGUAUACCCGUUCGCCUACUCUAUCCUACCUAGGUGCUCUUUACCGAGUGUCGAGGUAGGCCGACACGUUUACUUUGAACAAAUUAGAGUGCUCAAAGCAGGCUGAAAUCUCUGCCUGAAUAGUGGUGCAUGGAAUAAUAAAACAGGACCUUGGUUCUAUUUUGUUGGUUCUUAGGAACACAAGGUAAUGAUCAAUACGGACAGGCGGGGGCAUUCGUAUUGCGACGUUAGAGGUGAAAUUCUUGGAUCGUCGCAAGACGCACAAGAGCGAAAGCAUUUGCCAAGUAUGUCUUGAUUGAUCAAGAACGAAAGUUAGAGGUUCGAAGGCGAUCAGAUACCGCCCUAGUUCUAACCAUAAACGWAUGCCAGCCAGCGAUCCGCCGAUGUUCCUCCGAUGACUCGGCGGGGAGCUUCUUCCCGGGAAACCAAAGCUUUUGGGUUCCGGGGGAAGUAUGGUUGCAAAGCUGAAACUUAAAGGAAUUGACGGAAGGGCACCACCAGGAGUGGAGCCUGCGGCUUAAUUUGACUCAACACGGGAAACCUCACCAGGCCAGGACAUUGGAAGGAUUGACAGAUUGAUAGCUCUUUCUUGAUUCAGUGGGUAGUGGUGCAUGGCCGUUCUUAGUUGGUGGAUCGAUUUGUCUGGUUAAUUCCGAUAACGAACGAGACUCUAGCCUAUUAACUAGGCGUUUACCGGUGUCCCCGCCACCGGCGACAAUCAUUCUUCUUAAGGGGACAGGCGGCUUAUAGCCGCACGAGAUUGAGCAAUAACAGGUCUGUGAUGCCCUUAGAUGUCCUGGGCCGCACGCGCGCUACACUGAAGGAAUCAGCGUGUGCCUCCCUGGCCGAAAGGCCCGGGUAAUCCGCUGAACCUCCUGCGUGCUAGGAAUUGGGGCUUGCAAUUGUUCCCCAUGAACGAGGAAUUCCCAGUAAGCGCGAGUCAUAAGCUCGCGUUGAUUACGUCCCUGCCCUUUGUACACACCGCCCGUCGCUACUACCGAUUGAAUGAUUUAGUGAGGUCUUCGGACUGGCGGUAAUCCCUA
rnacentral:rRNA from 1 species